ensembl:lncRNA novel transcript
AAACUCACUGCCAGUGGGAAGAAAGCUUCAGAAUGCAGAAAAGCUACCCAGCCUCCAUGCCAGAUGAAUCUGAGAAUCAGGAAAACUGGGGUCAAAAACCACUUAACGGGAGCCCAACUCCCAAGGAGCUCUUAGGAGACAAGGAGGAGUCAAGCCUUGGAUUCCAGGCAUUAUCUGAUUCCUUCCAAGCACGAUCCCCAGACCCCAGAUGCCAGGCCACCCACAGAGCCCUGACGUCCUCCUGUGGACACCCUCCCAGGGAGAUGCCCAUACUCCCCCAGGGAUAAAGUCGCUUGGAUACCACAGAUGCUGCGGCCACACGGUGAUGCUGGAGACUGGAUGGAACUAUAAAACAUCAAGUUGCCUUUGAGAAGCUCUAGGGUCUGCAGCCCCAGCACCUGCACCUAGGUCAACUGACUCUCUUCCCAAAGUCAUCCACACCUGGGGAUGAGCUUGCCCACAUCCUGCAGAGGAAAAGCCAACUUUUGUCAAAAAUCAGAAUGCACCAGCCUUGCCUUUGGAGCCACCUACAUCGACUUCCUGAACCAUGCCUUGCUGAGGGCUUGUUUCUGUGGAGCCAGCCUCUUCUCCCUGCCUUAGGGAACACUUCUCACCAUGGUUUGUUUCAAACUGCAGAGUUCUAGGUAUCCGAGAGCUGAGGGACCUUUGUCAGCCAUCUCUGAGGCUCAGCUUCUUGGGCUCUACAAUAUAGAUAAUAAUGCCCAGUUCAUGAGGUUGUCUUGAAGGCAAAAUAGGUAUGCAAUGUGAUAAGGUGUCACAAAAAAAGGUGAGAGGUUUACUGAUUUAUUUUGUCUCCAAUGUACCCAAGUCAUCCUCCAAACUGAAACCUUGUCACUGACCCACCAACAAACCCUGCCAUGUGCCACAGCCUCAUGAUUCUCUCCUCUCACUAGAGGAGUGCAUGGAGUGAAUUUUUUCCACUUGGUGAUCUUUUUGUAUUAGUCAUUCAUUAAUUCUGCAGUUUGAUGAGGGUCUGCUUGUGCCAGCCUCUUACUAUUCACCUCCCUCUCUCCUUAAUUCACAUGAAUGAAUUUUUUCAUUCAGCUACAAUGUGCAUUCAAGGAGCAUUCACAAACAGCACUCAUUAGCUGUGGAAUGAUGCCAAGUGGCUCACGUGGACUGAAGCCCAUGUGCUUGGUCCAUGAACAACCUUCCAAUCUGCCAGGUUCAGCCUAGUUUCCAGGUUCUACACACAGCCUCCUCACCACAGCAAGGCCACUUGAUCCCUAUCUACAGAAAGUGUCAGCCCUUCUAGCAGAGGUCCUGUAGUACUUCAACAACUAUGGCCACACUCAGGGACUUGAUAUUAAGAAUACUUAUUACCAGCCCAACUCUGACCUAGUGCCCAGAAUCCAGUAGUAUGGUUUCUGAGCCCAAGCCCUACUCUGGGCUUUAAUCCUUAGGACUAUAUUUCUACCCUGGGUCCUGUUUUAGCGGAUGCCUUAGUACUCCAAGUCUCUCCUGAGUCCAAAGCACUGCCUAGGUAUUACCAGCCUUUCCUGAGAAUAAGCCCUCAAUUCUAGGCUGACUGGGGUUCUGCUCCAUGUGAAGAGACUUCUGUGGGGCUCAGCUGCCUAGACUCCCAAAUUCCACCCACUCUGUGUGUCAGAGAAACUUUUGCUUCUUUACUUUGGGCCCAACCUUUCUUGACUCUCUACCUGGUCCACCAUUAUCAUGUGUAUUUAGAUGUCCUUCAUGGCCAACCAAAUGGAGUUAUUCACCUGUAUCAACAGCAAGAUCAAGUACCCUCAGGUGCAGUCCCACCUGUGUGGGAGAGUCUAUGUGCAAUCUCUCACCUGGUCUCCUACUCAUUUCUGAUGAAUCUGAAGACAAGGCCAACAAAUUGGAUAAACAGAGUCCACCACCUCCCUCACUCAGUGUUGAGCAGAUUUCUGGGGUUGCUGUCCACUCUCUCAUGGUCCCAGGAGCUCUAACAUGCCCCAACUUUGUCUUGACUUUUGAGGCAUUCUGCCCUUUCCUUCAGUGAGGAGUUGAGACAGAGAGGCUGUAGACAGGAACGGCAGGGGUCUGGGCUUGGCUACAUUGCCUCUGACUGGCACUUGCUCCACUACACUUCUUCACAGCCACACGUGAGACCUUAGAGGGAUCAUCAAGGUCAUUGCUCAUCCCCACAGGAAAACCAGCCUUGGAAAAUAAAUAAACGACCAUGGACUUGUUUGAUGGGCCAAAGACAAUAAAGGGGCUGAUGUUUGACAAAACAGUAAAGACACCAACCAGUUAGCGCCCCAAACAAUGCAAGUUAUCUAGAAAGGGAAGAAAGCCUUGGCAUGAUUAAUUAGCACCUGGAAUACAAAUUCACAUGAGAAUGAGGAGAAGACACAUAAAGUAAUAAAUGCAUUGUGAAAUCCAGA